rnacentral:rRNA from 1 species
CCUACGGGAGGCAGCAGUGAGGAAUAUUGGUCAAUGGGCGCGAGCCUGAACCAGCCAAGCCGCGUGAAGGACGAAGGUGCCAAGCAUUGUAAACUUCUUUUGUCAAGGGACAAAAUCAGGCUAGAGAGCCUGACCGAGGGUACUUGAAGAAAAAGCAUCGGCGAACUCCGUGCCAGAAGCCGCGGUAAUACGGAGGAUGCGAGCGUUAUCCGGAUGUAUUGGGUUUAAAGGGUGCGUAGGCGGGCUGUUAAGGCAGCGGUAAAAGCCCGGGGCUCAACCCCGGCGAGCCGUUGAAACUGGCUGUCUUGAGAUGUCGAGAGGUAUGCGGAAUGCGCAGUGUAGCGGUGAAAUGCUUAGAUAUUGCGCAGAACUCCGAUUGCGAAGGCAGCAUACCGGCGGCGAUCUGCCGCUGAGGCACGAAAGCGUGGGUAUCGAACAGGAUUAGAUACCCGAGUAGUC